rnacentral:lncRNA from 1 species
UUCAUUUUUGCAAAGCCCUUGCAACUUUGAAGAGUAAAAAAUCAAGGAACAAAGCCAAUAGCCAGUAAAAAAAAUAAAUAAAUAAAUAAAUCAUCUUUUUUUCUCUUUCAAAUGCAUCAAGCAAUUUUUUCUUCUCUUCUCUUCCAAAUGCACGGCAGCCUUGCUCCACUACCACACUGUGUUGAUUUGUCGCGCAAUACUGCAACUCUACCACUUCGCAUCGCAUGAUAACCAGCUUCACCGCCACUAU